GGGCCACGUCUUCAGCAUAUGGAAGCUCCCAGGCUAGGGGAUUAAUCAGAGCUGCAGCUGCCAGCCACAGCCACAGCCACAGCAAAGCCGGAUCAGAGCCAUCACAGCUUGCAGCAGCCCCACAUCCUUAACCCAAUGGGCAGGGCCAGGGAUCUAACCAGCAUCCUCAAGGAUACUAGUCAGGUUCAUAACCUGCUGAGCCAUAACGGGAACUCCUAUGUUACAUAAAUUUUGUCAAAAAAAAAAAAUUAGAAAGAAUGAUGAGAGUCCCUUACACAUCACUGCUCUGGAUUUAAGCUGGUGUUUGGGACUCCACGGUGAUGGUAAGGACAUGAUUUGGGAAUGGGUGGCAAAAAAUCUGAAUAAAACCCAGGCUCUGUCCUCAAGAUGCUCACACCCAGUUGGAGGACACAGACACAUACUUCACUAAUGAGAACACAAAUCAGAAGAUAAUAAGCAUCACAGUGGAGAGAGAUAAUUCUGCUGGAGUACAAAGGAAGAUGUGAUUUUUUUUCUGCCUGAGGAAUAUUGCAAAGCUUUGCAGAAGAGGAGAUAUUUCAGCUGGGUUUUUAAGGAUCAGUAGGAGGCGUUCCCAUCCUGGCUCAGUGAAAAUGAAUCUGACUAGCAUCCAUGAGGUGGCAGGUUCCAUCCCUGGCCUCGCUCAGUGGGUUAAGGAUCUGGCAUUGCCAUGAGCUGUGGUGUAGGUCGAAGACAUGGCUCAGAUCCUGCAUUGCUGUGACUGUGGCAUAGGAGGAAGGUGUAGCUCCGAUUUGAACCCUAGCCUGGGAACUUCCAUAUGCCAUGGGUGUGGAACUAAAAAGACAACAACAACAACAACAAUAAUAAUAAUAAAAUCAAGGGACCAGCUGAAUAAAGGCCUGGAGUUGUAUAAAGCAUUCAGAGAUGUACCAGAUGGUAUGAUUUGAGCUAUGAUUUUUCCCUUCUAGUGUUCUGCCACUGCUUUUUAUUAAACAUCACAACCAUGGCCUUUGAUCCUAGGUUCUUGCUUUGCAGAAUAUGAGCCUUCAAUUUAAAAACAGAGAAACGAAAAUGUGGAUCUUGAGCCUGGGUGGAGUUUAGCAGGGUCCCCCAGGUUCCCUUGCUCCGUCCACAUCCCCACCCCCUACCCCCUGUGGUUGUCUGAGCACCUGGAGUCUAUUUGGCAGCUGCUCUGCUCCUGCCCUCUGUCCCUCCAAUCCAAGAGCCCCUCCUGGGUGCAAUGAAUGGCUCCAUCCUGCUGGACGGAUGGGCCCUUGUUCCCUCUUGAAAACGUCCUUGCUCGACUGGUGGCUUCUUCACCCCAGCGCUGCCCUCCCUCUGGUGCACCCAGAGGACGAUGCCAGGGAGGAAACAAGAGACCCAUCCUAUUCCCUCAGGAAGAGUCAGCCCAUCUGGCUCCUUCAGCGGCUGCUUUGUUUGGCUUCUAUUUGGAUUGUGAACCCAUUGUUUUGUGUGGAAGUGGGAAAACCAGGACUCGAAACAAGUACUCUUAUAGGAGGAGUUUGGUGCUUAAUGAAUUAUUCAGUGAGCAGGGCUAAACCCAAAGCGUUCUGGAAAGAAAGAAAAUUUCGGCAUGGAUCCCUGAGACCCCCACUGCUGCCCAGAUGAACAGUUAACCGAAUGGUCCUCCCUGCUAUUUGCUCCCUGAUUCACUAAGCAUAAGCCUGGUUUAUUGUGUUUACAAUUGCGCAUCUUCAGAGCAUAACUGAUUCAUUGCAAUAAGAGUGCACUGGACAGUAGAGGCGUCUCUGAACAGGCUUUUCCCUAAAGCUAGGAAUAAUCCCUGCACCAAAGAUCCAGUCUGAUGAACUAGUCAGUGUUCCCAAACCUCUUAUGCUUGGGGGAGAUCAGGACACGGAGACAUCUGGUCUCGGGCAGCUUUGCCCAGGAUAGAAUAUUGUUCUCCCCAGGGGGGAUCUUGUUAGCAAAUGAGGCUGGCGUGCCUGUCUGAGACGGAGGCUCCUCUCUGUGAGCCCUGGGUAGGGAGUCGGGGACUGGACCGGGGAGCCCUGGAACUAGGCUCCCUCCAAAACCCUGAUAAAAAGAAACCUGGAUUUAACCCUGACUUCUCCUUGAACCAGCUGAUUAAUUUUUUUUUUUUUUCUAUCAACUUCAAUUCCCUUGUCUCCAGCUCUCAGAGGCAUGAAUGCUCUGACUGUGCAGACAAGAAGCAGAUGGGCGGUGGAAGGGUCAGUCUGUACGGGUAGGGGCGAGGAGAGGGGAGGGGAAGCAGGCCUGAAUGUCAUUACUUGAAGGGGUCAGGGGGGUCAGUGACAGUGGCAAGGAACAGAUUUUUCCAGCCGCUUUCAGGCUGAGAUUUGCACUGCAUAAUCUGAAUGCUUUUAUCUGUUUCUGAAAAUAGACAGGAAUUUUUUCCACAGGCUGCUCCAAUCUGGCUGGGGAGACGUGAGGGAGGAUGGCCGGGAGACAGUUGUAUGUGGUCCAGUGAGUACGUUGUGUGACCCCUACCCCGCCACGGCCCCCCAAACAGCCCUUCUCCAUAUUGGUUCCCUGAGUCACGUUAUCUUAAUGUCCCUUGAAGUAGGGAGUCAUAAAUGCUGAGAAUACUUUCCAUUCCCAAUUUUG
rnacentral:lncRNA from 1 species